rnacentral:rRNA from 1 species
AGUGAACGCUGGCGGUAGGCCUAACACAUGCAAGUCGAACGGCAGCACAGUAAGAGCUUGCUCUUACGGGUGGCGAGUGGCGGACGGGUGAGGAAUACAUCGGAAUCUACUUUUUCGUGGGGGAUAACGUAGGGAAACUUACGCUAAUACCGCAUACGACCUACGGGUGAAAGCAGGGGAUCUUCGGACCUUGCGCGAUUGAAUGAGCCGAUGUCGGGUUAGCUAGUUGGCGGGGUAAAGGCCUACCAAGCCGACGAUCCGUAGCUGGUCUGAGAGGAUGAUCAGCCGUCCUGGAGCUGAGACAAGGUCCAGACUCCUACGGGAGGCAGCAGUGGGGAAUAUUGGACAAUGGGCGCAAGCCUGAUCCAGCCAUACCGCGUGGGUGAAGAAGGCGUUCGGGUUGUAAAGCCCUUUUGUUGGGAAAGAAAAGCAGCAGGUUAAUACCCCGCUGUUCUGACGGUACCCAAAGAAGAAGCACCGGCUAACUUCGUG